rnacentral:rRNA from 1 species
CAGGCUUAACACAUGCAAGUCGAGCGGGCAUAGCAAUAUGUCAGCGGCAGACGGGUGAGUAACGCGUGGGAACGUACCUUUUGGUUCGGAACAACACAGGGAAACUUGUGCUAAUACCGGAUAAGCCCUUACGGGGAAAGAUUUAUCGCCGAAAGAUCGGCCCGCGUCUGAUUAGCUAGUUGGUGAGGUAAUGGCUCACCAAGGCGACGAUCAGUAGCUGGUCUGAGAGGAUGAUCAGCCACAUUGGGACUGAGACACGGCCCAAACUCCUACGGGAGGCAGCAGUGGGGAAUAUUGGACAAUGGGCGCAAGCCUGAUCCAGCCAUGCCGCGUGAGUGAUGAAGGCCCUAGGGUUGUAAAGCUCUUUUGUGCGGGAAGAUAAUGACGGUACCGCAAGAAUAAGCCCCGGCUAACUUCGUGCCAGCAGCCGCGGUAAUACGAAGGGGGCUAGCGUUGCUCGGAAUCACUGGGCGUAAAGGGUGCGUAGGCGGGUCUUUAAGUCAGGGGUGAAAUCCUGGAGCUCAACUCCAGAACUGCCUUUGAUACUGAAGAUCUUGAGUUCGGGAGAGGUGAGUGGAACUGCGAGUGUAGAGGUGAAAUCCGUAGAUAUCCCAAGACACCAGUGGCGAAGGC